ACUGGUUGAUCCUGCCAGUGAUCAUAUUCUUCGAUCAAAGAUUAAGCCAUGCACGUGUAAGAGUAAAUAGUUACCUGUGAAUCUGCGUAUGGCUCAUUACAAGAAUUAUUACUUCCCCCAGCAAAAUUUACAAUUGGAUAACCGUUGUAAUUCAAGGGCUAAUCAUGCAUAAAGAUGGUUUCGUAAGAGAUCAUUGCAUUUGUUAGUCAAUAAACCAACAUCUUUAAGAUGAAUCAUGACAAAUUGCGGAUCCUCAUGUUGCAAAAGACGGAGGACGACUGGGUCAGGUCUUUCCCCUAUCAGUUUUCGUAGGAAAUGUAUUGAAUUUUCUAGACUUUGACGGGUAACGGAAAAUGAGGGUUUGAUUCCGGAGAAGGAGCCUGAGAGACGGCUACUACAUCUAAGGAAGGCAGCAGGCGCGCAAAUUGUCCAUUUAUCAUUUGAUAGAGACAGUGACGAUCAAUAACAAUGUGCGACUCUUUAUGGGUUGUGCAAUUGGAAUGACUACAAUUUAAAGAGUUUAAGGAGGAUCAAUUGGAGGGCAAGUCUGGUGCCAGCAGCCGCGGUAAUUCCAGCUCCAAUAGGAUAUAUCAAAGUUGUUGCAGUUAAAAAGCUCGUAGUUGAAUUUCUGGUGGGGUUUUCUUCGAGUGUGAUAAUUUUCAGGGCAACUUGAAUUUUAUUGCACCACCCGCCAUAUUGUGGAUCAAUACAAGUAUGAAUGGUUUACUCCAUUUAUAUUUGUACCACUCAGUCACUGAGAGCAAAUUGGAGUGCUCAAAGCAGGCUUGAUAGCUUUGAACAUUUUAGCUUGGAAUGACAAGAUAUGACUUUUGUUGUAUUUUGUUGGUUAUACAAUGAAAGUAAUGAUUAACAGGAACAGUUGCGGGGGUACUCGUAUUGAGAGGUCAGAGGUGAAAUUCUUGGAUUCUUUCAAGACGAACGACUGCGAAAGCAUUUACCAAUGAUGUUUUCAUUAAUCAAGAACGAAAGCUCGGGGAUCGAAGAUGAUUAGAUACCAUCGUAGUCCGACGCCAUAAACGAUGCCGACUCGGGAUUGUCUUGUUUAUUCUAAUUAAAAAACGAAUCAAGGCAGCACCGUAUGAGAAAUCAAAGUCUUUGGGUUCCGGGGGGAGUAUGGUCGCAAGGCUGAAACUUAAAGGAAUUGACGGAAGGGCACACCAGAGGUGGAGCCUGCGGUUUAAUUUGACCCAACACGGGGAAACUUACCAGGUCCAGACAUGAUGAGGAUUGACAGUUUGAAAGCACUUUCUUGAUUUCAUGGGUGGUGGUGCAUGGCCGUUCUUAGUUGGUGGAGUGAUUUGUCUGGUUGAUUCCGAUAACGAACGAGACGGGGAGAGUUAACUAGGUGAUUGGAUAACC
rnacentral:rRNA from 1 species